UCGACCCGGCUCAGUCGGAUUAGGAAACAGGCUGUUAGGAAGGCAGCGGAGCCUGGUCUUGCCACCGGCGCGCUGGGGUUCCCGCUUUGCGCAUCGUUCCAGGCUGAGCCGGGAAGCGGCGAGGAUUGCAGAUAAACGGCUUCCGGGCGCGGCACCGCGUGUAGGCGGCCACGCCUUUCGCGCACACCCGCCGGGCGAGUCAGCGCAGGAGGGUCCGACCUGUCGGCGCCGGGACGGGGUCUGGAGCAAGCCCGGGAAAUCAUUCCGUGCCUGUGACCAGAAACCACACCAGACAUCAGUCACGUGAACACCUGCAUCUUCUCCAAAGAGUCAAAGGCAAGAGAAUCCACUGGUUUGCUGCCUUGAUGAAUAAUCAGCUAGGGUUAUGAUCCAACUCUGCUAGAUCAUGACACAAUCCACAGU